GACGUAGGGUGCGAGCGUUGUCCGGAUUUAUUGGGCGUAAAGAGCUCGUAGGCGGCCACUCAAGUCGAAUGUGAAACCUCGAGGCUUAACCUCGAGCCUGCAUUCGAUACUGGGCGGCUAGAGUCUGGUAGGGGGAUCUGGAAUUCCUGGUGUAGCGGUGGAAUGCGCAGAUAUCAGGAGGAACACCGGUGGCGAAGGCGGGAUCCUGGGCCAGUACUGACGCUGAGGAGCGAAAGCGUGGGGAGCAAACAGG
rnacentral:rRNA from 1 species